UGGAAUUGCUAGUAAUGGCAGGUCAGCAUACUGCCGUGAAUACGUUCCCGGGGCCCUUGUACACACCGCCCGUCACACCAUGAGAGUUGGGAAUACCCGAAGCCUGUGAGCUAACUUAUAGAGGCAGCAGUCGAAGGUAGAAUCAAUGAUUGGGGUGAAGUCGUAACAAGGUAUC
rnacentral:rRNA from 1 species